rnacentral:rRNA from 1 species
CGGCUUGUCCGUCGGGUGUGAAAGCCCGGGGCUUAACCCCGGGUCUGCAUUCGAUACGGGCUAGCUAGAGUGUGGUAGGGGAGAUCGGAAUUCCUGGUGUAGCGGUGAAAUGCGCAGAUAUCAGGAGGAACACCGGUGGCGAAGGCGGAUCUCUGGGCCAUUACUGACGCUGAGGAGCGAAAGCGUGGGGAGCGAACAGGAUUAGAUACCCUGGUAGUCCACGCCGUAAACGGUGGGAACUAGGUGUUGGCGACAUUCCACGUCGUCGGUGCCGCAGCUAACGCAUUAAGUUCCCCGCCUGGGGAGUACGGCCGCAAGGCUAAUACUCAAAGGAUUUGACGGGGGCCCGC